rnacentral:rRNA from 1 species
GACGAACGCUGGCGGCGUGCUUAACACAUGCAAGUCGAACGGUGAAGCACCUUCCUUUUGGUGGGUGUGGAUGAGUGGCGAACGGGUGAGUAACACGUGAGUAACCUGCCCCCUUCUUCUGGAUAACCGCAUGAAAGUGUGGCUAAUACGGGAUAUUCUGGGUCUGUCGCAUGGCGGGCCUGGGAAAGAUAUUGUUUCGGUGGGGGAUGGGCUCGCGGUCUAUCAGCUUGUUGGUGGGGUGAUGGCCUACCAAGGCGGUGACGGGUAGCCGGCCUGGGAGGGUGGACGGUCACACUGGGACUGAGACACGGCCCAGACUCCUACGGGAGGCAGCAGUGGGGAAUAUUGCACAAUGGGCGCAAGCCUGAUGCAGCGCCGCCGCGUGAGGGAUGGAGGCCUUCGGGUUGUAAACCUCUUUCGCCAGUGAAGCAGGCCUGUCCCUUUUGUGGGUGGGUUGACGGUAGCUGGAUAAGAAGCGCCGGCUAACUACGUG